CAGGCCUAACACAUGCAAGUCGAACGGUGGUAGCAAUACCAUAGUGGCGCACGGGUGCGUAACACGUAACUAACCUGCCCAAGACUGGGGGAUAGCCCGCCGAAAGGCGGAUUAACACCGCAUAAUAUUAUUGGGUGGCAUCACUCGAUAAUUAAAUCUACGGAGGUUCUGGAUGGGGCUGCGGGUCAUUAGCUAGUUGGUGGGGUAACGGCCCACCAAGGCGACGAUGACUAGGGGAGCUGAGAGGCUGGUCCCCCACACGGGCACUGAGAUACGGGCCCGACUCCUACGGGAGGCAGCAGUAGGGAAUAUUGGGCAAUGGGCGAGAGCCUGACCCAGCCAUGCCGCGUGCAGGACGAAGGCUUUCUGAGUCGUAAACUGCUUUUGACAGGGAAGAAUAAGCUGCUCGUGAGCAGUGAUGACGGUACCUGCAGAAUAAGCACCGGCUAACUCCGUGCCAGCAGCCGCGGUAAU
rnacentral:rRNA from 1 species